CAACGUAAUCAUGCGUUUUAUGCUGAGCGUAAUACCCACAGCGUAGCGGCUAGAACCCGCAGACUUAUUCAUAAGGAAACAAACAAAUG
rnacentral:ncRNA from 1 species